CUAUACCCUCCUAAUCUUUUUUCUAUAUAUUAAUAUUAUGGUCAUCACAGUCAACCACCACAUCGUUGAUGCGGAGACCGACAGCGGAGCUACCACCAUUGUUGGUAUCAAAAUCAGCUAAGUGCUAAGGAAGCUGUGCCGAUCUUGAUACCACCAAUGGUGGCGGCGCCGCCGCCACUCAAUUGCCUCCGUCUUAAUUUGCAUCAUAACGCCAUAGCCGAUUUGCUUGAAAGAAUGUUUUAAAUUGAGAAGGACGAUAUAGUGGAUAUGAAAACAAACAAGCUCCAAUACACUGGCAGCAGAAAGCUUUUGAAGAAGACACGACGGCGUCUGCUUGUAUUGCAUGACUUGGAAUAUCAUCGUUGUUCUCAAUGAAUAUUGUCAAGUUCUUGAUAAAAGAAAUUCAUUUGAUAUUAUUGGUGUUUGUCUUACUCUUUGUUAGUAAAGAAACUUUAGUAGAAAAGUAA